UUUGUCGCUCGCUUCUACCUGUUUACACGCUUAAUUUUUUUCUUUUUUUACGUACUACUGUUUUUUUCACAAGUAGUAUCCACAGUUUUUAUAUUAUAAUUGGAAUUUAUCGAAGGUUAUAGACUUUAUCACAACCUGUUUUCUUGGCUUGUCAUGAGACGACAAAAUUAAGAAAAGAAGUAUAACUCCAUGCUACAAACAAUUGUCUUCUUAAUGAACACCCUUAUGGAAUUUGAUGCUAAACAUUGCAGACUGUAGUAAGACUAUAUUCAAAUCAGGAAGAGCUGAGAAAUUGUAUAUGGAAAUCCAAAAACGUCUCCACUUGGAUCAACAAAAUUUGAAAUGGGAAAAGUCAGUUCAUGACAUUUUAGAAGUAUGUGGUCAUGAUGAAUAUAGUAUCAUUGGUGAGUUGUACUACCAUAAGAUAAAAAAUAUUUCACACAGAUGUUCUAAGGAACGUAAUCUUUCAAUGGAUGACAAAUAUUUGAACUUAUUUUCGUUCGGCGAUUAAUUGUAUUUGAGAUCAAU